rnacentral:rRNA from 1 species
GACGUAGGGCGCGAGCGUUGUCCGGAUUUAUUGGGCGUAAAGAGCUCGUAGGCGGUCUGUCGCGUCUGCUGUGAAAAUCCGGGGCUCAACCCCGGACUUGCAGUGGGUACGGGCAGACUAGAGUGUGGUAGGGGAGACUGGAAUUCCUGGUGUAGCGGUGAAAUGCGCAGAUAUCAGGAGGAACACCGAUGGCGAAGGCAGGUCUCUGGGCCACUACUGACGCUGAGAAGCGAAAGCAUGGGGAGCGAACAGG